UGCAAUCUACCUUAUACUAAGGGAUAGCCCAGAGAAAUUUGGAUUAAUACCUUAUAGAAUAUUGAAAUGGCAUCAUUUAGAUAUUAAAGAUUUAUUGGUAUAAGAUGAGCAUGCGUCCCAUUAGUUAGUUGGUAAGGUAACGGCUUACCAAGACGAUGAUGGGUAGGGGUCCUGAGAGGGAGAUCCCCCACACUGGUACUGAGACACGGACCAGACUCCUACGGGAGGCAGCAGUGAGGAAUAUUGGUCAAUGGGCGCAAGCCUGAACCAGCCAUGCCGCGUGCAGGAUGACGCAUCUAUGGUGUGUAAACUGCUUUUGUACAGGAAGAAACAUCCCGACGAGUCGGGACUUGACGGUACUGUAAGAAUAAGGAUCGGCUAACUCCGUGCCAGCAGCCGCG
rnacentral:rRNA from 1 species